GUCACGAUAGCUCAAGUGGUAGAGCAGCGGCCGAAGGUUAGCCGAAGGUCGUGGGUUCGAAUCCCGUUCGUGACG
rnacentral:tRNA from 1 species